UGAGCUGUGGAUAGGGGUGAAAGGCUAAACAAAUCCGGAAAUAGCUGGUUCUCCCCGAAAACUAUUUAGGUAGUGCGUCGUACGGACACUUGCGGGGGUAGAGCACUGUAAUCGUUGGGGGGGUCAUUGCGAUCUACCCCGCGAUAGCAAACUCCGAAUACCGCAAAGUGAUAUACGGCAGACAGACAUCGGGUGCUAACGUCCGGUGUCAAGAGGGAAACAACCCAGACCGCCAGCUAAGGUCCCAAAUGCAUGGCUAAGUGGCAAACGAGGUGGGAAGGCAUAGACAGCUAGGAGGUUGGCUUAGAAGCAGGCCAAUCCUUUAAAGAAAGCGUAAUAGCUCACUAGUCGAGUCGUCCUGCGCGGAAGAUGUAACGGGGCUCAAGCCAUGAACCGAAGCUGCGGAUGUGUCUUUGACACGUGUAGGGGAGCGUUCCGUAAGCCUGCGAAGGUGUCUCGUAAGGGAUGCUGGAGGUAUCGGAAGUGCGAAUGCUGACAUGAGUAGCGAU
rnacentral:rRNA from 1 species